GCUGCUCCGAUACAGUCGACCAGCUAGCUAUAAAUACAGUCUCUUUAUACAAGCUUCUUGGUGGUGGCCGUGGCAGCACUAUCAUCGGCGGCGCCCUUCUCAUUCUCAGGCCUGCCCCCGACCGUGCCGUCGUUGCCGGCGAGCUUCAUGUACUUGUCCUUCCUGGUGAGCUUGGUGCACCGGAACCCGAGCUCCUUGGCGAUGAGCGUCUGCACGUGGUUGGCCACGUCGACGGCGCUCCUCCCGCCGGCGCCGCACGUCUCCUCCGGCCGCAGCGGCGGCAGGAAGGUGACGUCGUACCCGGGGCGCGGGUUCAUGUAGAAGAAGUAAGGGUCGAGCCACUUCCACCCCCUCGCCG
rnacentral:misc_RNA from 1 species